UACGGAGGGAGCUAGCGUUAUUCGGAAUACUGGGCGUAAAGCGCACGUAGGCGGCUUUGUAAGUAAGAGGUGAAAGCCCAGAGCUCAACUCUGGAAUUGCCUUUUAGACUGCAUCGCUUGAAUCAUGGAGAGGUCAGUGGAAUUCCGAGUGUAGAGGUGAAAUUCGUAGAUAUUCGGAAGAACACCAGUGGCGAAGGCGGCUGACUGGACAUGUAUUGACGCUGAGGUGCGAAAGCGUGGGGAGCAAACAGG
rnacentral:rRNA from 1 species